GUAGCAUAAUCAUUAGCUUUUUAAUUGAAAGCUUGUAUGAAUGGUCGGACAAAGGAGAAGCUGUCUUAUAUUAUACACAUAGAAAUUAACUUUUAAGUGAAAAGGCUUAAAUUAUUCUGAGGGACGAUAAGACCCUAUAAAGCUUUAUGUUGUGCUCUUACUUGGUUGAGUUUGUAGUAUAAAGAGUUAGUAAAGGCGCUAUAUUUUGUUGGGGCGACAUGGGUAUAAUUAAUAUUAACUGCUCGUGGGUAGAACAUUAAUUGAUGGAAAAGAGUAAAUGAUCCUUUUUAGAGAUUAAAGAUUAAGUUACUUUAGGGAUAACAGCGUUAUUUCUUUUUAGAGUUCAUAUCGAAAAAGAAGUUUGCGACCUCGAUGUUGAAUUAAAAUAUCUUUAUGGUGCAGCAGCUAUAAGAGAAGGUCUGUUCGACCUUUAAAUUUUUACAUGA
rnacentral:rRNA from 1 species